rnacentral:tRNA from 1 species
UCCAGGUGGCUCAGUGGUAAAGAAUCUGCCUGCAAUGCAGGAGACCUGGGUUCAAUACCUGGAUCAGGAA